AGCAGGGAAGAAGCGAGAGUGACGGUACCUGCAGAAGAAGCGCCGGCUAACUACGUGCCAGCAGCCGCGGUAAUACGUAGGGCGCAAGCGUUGUCCGGAAUUAUUGGGCGUAAAGAGCUCGUAGGCGGCUUGUCGCGUCGGAUGUGAAAGCCCGGAGCUUAACUCCGGGUCUGCAUUCGAUACGGGCAGGCUAGAGUUCGGUAGGGGAGAUCGGAAUUCCUGGUGUAGCGGUGAAAUGCGCAGAUAUCAGGAGGAACACCGGUGGCGAAGGCGGAUCUCUGGGCCGAUACUGACGCUGAGGAGCGAAAGCGUGGGGAGCGAACAGGAUUAGAUACCCUGGUAGUCCACGCCGUAAACGUUGGGAACUAGGUGUGGGCGACAUUCCACGUUGUCCGCGCCGCAGCUAACGCAUUAAGUUCCCCGCCUGGGGAGUACGGCCGCAAGGCUAAAACUCAAAGGAAUUGACGGGGGCCCGCACAAGCGGCGGAGCAUGUGGCUUAAUUCGACGCAACGCGAAGAACCUUACCAAGGCUUGACAUACACCGGAAACCUCUGGAGACAGGGGCCCCCUUGUGGU
rnacentral:rRNA from 1 species